GACGAACGCUGGCGGCGUGCUUAACACAUGCAAGUCGAACGGAAAGGCCCUGCUUUUGUGGGGUGCUCGAGUGGCGAACGGGUGAGUAACACGUGAGUAACCUGCCCUUGACUUUGGGAUAACUUCAGGAAACUGGGGCUAAUACCGGAUAGGAGCUCCUGCUGCAUGGUGGGGUUUGGAAAGUUUCGGCGGUUGGGGAUGGACUCGCGGCUUAUCAGCUUGUUGGUGGGGUAGUGGCUUACCAAGGCUUUGACGGGUAGCCGGCCUGAGAGGGUGACCGGCCACAUUGGGGCUGAGAUACGGACCAGACUCCUACGGGAGGCAGCAGUGGGGAAUAUUGCACAAUGGGCGGAAGCCUGAUGCAGCAACGCCGCGUGCGGGAUGACGGCCUUCGGGUUGUAAACCGCUUUCGCCUGUGACGAAGCGUGAGUGACGGUAAUGGGUAAAGAAGCACCGGCUAACUACGUG
rnacentral:rRNA from 1 species